AGGUUCUUAGGUUAGGUGUUAGAUGCAGUGUCGUUACCUAAGUUUUUUUUCUUCUCAAACAUUUUCCUGCUAUCAUAUUCUGAAGUUUAUUUGAGAUCAGGCAGACACAGAGGGAAGGUAGACAAAUAUAUGCUUUGGUAAGUAUUUCCGUCUCCACAAAGGACUUCAAAUCAGCUGCCAGGUUACCACGUCCACCGGAAACUACAACACUUUGCGGCCUGACAACACAAGCUGGAACAUGGACAGGCACGGACCAGACAGAGUGGGCAGUUGCUCUGUCAGGUGAAGGGCAGUGACAUGGAGCAGAGGUGUGAGCAUUGUAAGUAUGUGUUGAACUGCCCACUACACACACACACACACACACACACACACAUGAUGAUAAGUCUCGGGUAUAUGUAACAAAUUCCAAAGUAGUAUACAAACUUACCAGAGCAAUAAUAAUAAUAAUAAUAAUAAUAAUAAUAAUAAUAAUAAUAAUAAUAAAUAAAAAAAAGUCCUCUGUCCCAACUUCCAGCUUUCCAACUCUUCCCAACACACACACACACACACGGUCAUGCAUUAUCUAGUUGUUGUGUCUUUUACAUUAUUUUCCGAAGGUUCAACACACACACACACACACACACGCACAAACUCCACAUUCCAGCCUGAUUUUACAUUUUACUCAGUUUCUUGCUUGUCCAAAUUUUAAUACAUUGGAGGGCAUGGGAAGGGUAGCAAUUGUGUGGAGUAUCUCAGAGGUAUCCCAGCAGCCUUUAAUAAUCUUUUUGGCCUCUCCAUACGCUUCUAUUUCAUUCUCUUCACUUUUUCUGUGGCAUCCUAGUGUAAUAUAGUAUGUGUUUUAGGGGGACAGCAUAACCUAUGAUAUGAGUAGGAAGGGAAGGGCACCUGCUGGGUUGACCAUCAGGGGUGUGUAGUCAUUGGGUGAGUGAAGCAACGCGUCUCCUGGUGUAUGUAUGUUCCCCGUUAGUAGUAAGUUAGGAGGGAAAUAAGGGUCCAGGAGGAAAUAUCUGGUAGUUUUAAUGCAUUGUACUGUGAGAAGAACACUUUUAGCCUAUUUAUCUCAAGUCCAAAUUUUAGUCUAGUGGAGGGAAACAGAAGUCCGUAUUUUUAAACGUAUCGGCACUUAAGUUCGCCCAUCUGAAAAGCCCCUCAUGGAACUUUCUGGGCAGUUUUACACGACUUCCGCACCACGAACGGACGAACAGCCCACGAGAACCCAGUUAAUCCUCUCUGCAGCCUUGGGAAACGGUCAUAAUGGCGCCGGGUACGUUUAAGGACAUGGAAACAAUGAGAGACCAGGAGGAAAUAUUUAGUUAGUUUAAUGCAUUGUACUGUGAGAAGAACACUUUUAGCCUAUUUAUCUCAAGUCCAAAUUUUAGUCUAGUGGAGGGAAACAGAAGUCCGUAUUUUUAAACGUAUCGGCACUUAAGUUCGCCCGUUUGAAGAGCCUCUCGUAGUAGAACUUGCUGGGAUUUUCAUGGGCCAUUUUGUAAUCCUGGUGGUAGUUUUUAGACGUAUUCUUCACCACGAAUGUAAGAGUAACCCAUGAAAACCUGGUUACUCCUCUCUGCGGCCUUGGGAAAUAGUCGUAAUGGGCGCUGGGUACGUUUAAGAACAUGGAAACAAUGAGAGACCAGGAGGAAAUAUUUAGUUAGUUUAAUGCAUUGUACUGUGAGAAGAACACUUUUAGCCUAUUUAUCUCAAGUCCAAAUUUUAGUCUAGUGGAGGGAAACAGAAGUCCGUAUUUUUAGAAGUAUCGGCACUUAAGUUCGCCCGUUUGAAGAGCCUCUCGUAGUAGAACUUGCUGGGAUUUUCAUGGGCCGUUUUGUAAUCCUGGUGGUAGUUUUUAGACGUAUUCUUCACCACGAAUGUAAGAGUAACCCAUGAAAACCUGGUUACUCCUCUCUGCGGCCUUGGGAAAUAGUCGUAAUGGGCGCUGGGUACGUUUAAGAACAUGGAAACAAUAAGAGACCAGGAGGAAAUAUCUAGUUAGUUUAAUGCAUUGUACUGUGAGAAGAACACUUUUAGCCUAUUUAUCUCAAGUCCAAAUUUUAGUCUAGUGGAGGGAAACAGAAGUCCGUAUUUUUAAACGUAUCGGCACUUAAGUUCGCCCAUCUGAAAAGUCUCUCGUGGA